AGAGUUUGAUCCUGGCUCAGAGUGAACGCUGGCGGCGUGCCUAAUACAUGCAAGUCGAACGAUGAAGCUCUAGCUUGCUAGAGUGGAUUAGUGGCGCACGGGUGAGUAAUGCAUAGAUAACAUGCCCUUUAGUCUAGGAUAGCCAUUGGAAACGAUGAUUAAUACUGGAUACUCCUUACGAGGGAAAGUUUUUCGCUAAAGGAUUGGUCUAUGUCCUAUCAGCUUGUUGGUGAGGUAAUGGCUCACCAAGGCUAUGACGGGUAUCCGGCCUGAGAGGGUGAACGGACACACUGGAACUGAGACACGGUCCAGACUCCUACGGGAGGCAGCAGUAGGGAAUAUUGCUCAAUGGGGGAAACCCUGAAGCAGCAACGCCGCGUGGAGGAUGAAGGUUUUCGGAUUGUAAACUCCUUUUGUUAGAGAAGAUAAUGACGGUAUCUAACGAAUAAGCACCGGCUAACUCCGUGCCAGCAGCCGCGGUAAUACGGAGGGUGCAAGCGUUACUCGGAAUCACUGGGCGUAAAGAGCGCGUAGGCGGGAUAGCAAGUCAGAUGUGAAAUCCUAUGGCUUAACCAUAGAACUGCAUUUGAAACUGUUAUUCUAGAGUAUGGGAGAGGUAGGUGGAAUUCUUGGUGUAGGGGUAAAAUCCGUAGAGAUCAAGAGGAAUACUCAUUGCGAAGGCGACCUGCUAGAACAUAACUGACGCUGAUGCGCGAAAGCGUGGGGAGCAAAUAGGAUUAGAUACCCUGGUAGUCCACGCCCUAAACGAUGAAUGCUAGUUGUUGUGGAGCUUGUCUCUGCAGUAAUGCAGCUAACGCAUUAAGCAUUCCGCCUGGGGAGUACGGUCGCAAGAUUAAAACUCAAAGGAAUAGACGGGGACCCGCACAAGCGGUGGAGCAUGUGGUUUAAUUCGAAGAUACACGAAGAACCUUACCUAGGCUUGACAUUGAUAGAAUCCGCUAGAGAUAGUGGAGUGCUAGCUUGCUAGAACUUGAAAACAGGUGCUGCACGGCUGUCGUCAGCUCGUGUCGUGAGAUGUUGGGUUAAGUCCCGCAACGAGCGCAACCCUCGUCCUUAGUUGCUAACUAUUCGGUAGAGCACUCUAAGGAGACUGCCUUCGCAAGGAGGAGGAAGGUGAGGAUGACGUCAAGUCAUCAUGGCCCUUACGCCUAGGGCUACACACGUGCUACAAUGGGAAGCACAAAGAGAUGCAAUAUUGUGAAAUGGAGCAAAUCUAUAAAACUUCUCUCAGUUCGGAUUGUAGUCUGCAACUCGACUACAUGAAGCUGGAAUCGCUAGUAAUCGUAAAUCAGCUAUGUUACGGUGAAUACGUUCCCGGGUCUUGUACUCACCGCCCGUCACACCAUGGGAGUUGUAUUCGCCUUAAGUCGGAAUGCCAAACUGGCUACCGCCCACGGCGGAUGCAGCGACUGGGGUGAAGUCGUAACAAGGUAACC
rnacentral:rRNA from 1 species